rnacentral:rRNA from 1 species
UACGUAGGGGGCAAGCGUUGUCCGGAAUUAUUGGGCGUAAAGAGCGCGUAGGCGGUCCGAUAAGUCGGCUGUGAAAGUCAGGGGCUCAACCCUUGAAAGCCGGCCGAUACUGUCGGACUAGAGUCCGGAAGAGGCAAGUGGAAUUCCCGGUGUAGCGGUGAAAUGCGCAGAUAUCGGGAGGAACACCAAUGGCGAAGGCAGCUUGCUGGGACGGUACUGACGCUGAGACGCGAAAGCGUGGGGAGCGAACAGG